GCCCCCGUAGCUCAGCGGAAGAGCAAGGCCCUCCUAAGGCCUAGGCCGUAGGUUCGAAUCCUACCGGGGGCA
rnacentral:tRNA from 1 species